rnacentral:misc_RNA from 1 species
GCUGCAUUUUAGCACGACCCAUGUUGCCAUUUUCCUUUGGCAACGUAUCCUUUUGCUGGCAAGAUGUCUGAUCAACUUGGCUGGGGUUAACCACUGCGUCUCCCAGAACAGUGACAGAUGAAACUUCUAAGCUGGAAGCUUCCUCAUCAUUGGAGGCUAAUAAGCUAUUCUUGUCAAAUUCAGUAUCAUCGAGCCUUGAAGGAGAUGUUCUUGAAGAAUUACUGUUUGAUCCAUCCUUCUUUCUAUUAUGGUG